AUUGAACGCUGGCGGCAUGCCUUACACAUGCAAGUCGAACGGUAACAGGUUAAGCUGACGAGUGGCGAACGGGUGAGUAAUGUAUCGGAACGUGCCCAGUCGUGGGGGAUAACUGCUCGAAAGAGCAGCUAAUACCGCAUACGACCUGAGGGUGAAAGCGGGGGAUCGCAAGACCUCGCGCGAUUGGAGCGGCCGAUAUCAGAUUAGGUAGUUGGUGAGGUAAAGGCUCACCAAGCCGACGAUCUGUAGCUGGUCUGAGAGGACGACCAGCCACACUGGGACUGAGACACGGCCCAGACUCCUACGGGAGGCAGCAGUGGGGAAUUUUGGACAAUGGGCGCAAGCCUGAUCCAGCCAUGCCGCGUGCGGGAAGAAGGCCUUCGGGUUGUAAACCGCUUUUGUCAGGGAAGAAAAGGUUCUGGCUAAUACCUGGGACUCAUGACGGUACCUGAAGCAUAAGCACCGGCUAACUACGUG
rnacentral:rRNA from 1 species